GUUGAUUGCUUCCUUUGCUGUGCAGAAGCUUUUUAGCUUGAUGUAAUUCCAUUUAUCAAUUUUUGCUUUUGUCACCUGUGUUUUUGAGGACUUACCCUCAAAAAGUCUUUGCCCAGACCAAUGUCUUGAAGUGUUUACCCAUGUUUUCUUCUAGUAGUUUCAUAGUUUUAGGUCUUAUAUUUUAGUAUUACAUCCAUUUUGCCUUGAUUUUUGUAUAGAGUGAGAGGUGGGGGUCUAGUUUCACUAUUCUGCAUAUAGAUCCCCAGUUUUCCCAGCACUGUUUUUUUCGGAGAUUGUCCUUUCACCAUUGAAUAUUCCUGGCACCUUUGUUGAAAAUGAGUUGGCUGUAAAUGUCUAGAUUUAUUUCUAGGUUCUCUAUCCUGUUCCAUUGGUCUAUGUAUCUGUUUUUAUGCCAGUUUCAGUCAUGUUUAAAAAUGAGUUUGGCAUCUCUACUUCAGAAAUUAGUCAAGAAUCUGUCCAGAGUUUAGAAUAUGAGUGCUCCAAAAUUUAUGUGAUGGUUGUAUUGGGUUCCUAAAAUAGGAAUAGUAUUUGUACUUCACAUAGACAUUUUGAAAAUGAUAUAUAAGUUCUCUAGUGAUAUCUAACAUCUUUGGUAAAAUCCAGUCUACCAAAGAGCUGUUACUCACUGCAUGUCUUAGUAAAUGUUUUACUUGAAUAAUAAUUUCCUAAUUGAGAUGAUUAUAGAUGUUUCUGUUUUAGAGUGGAAAAUUGCAUGUCAGGCAGAAAUUGAGAUCCUUCUCCUGACUUCCCUUCCCUGCAGGUCCCAGCAGCUGAAAGCCUGCACUUAGUGGCCACAGCCUUAUUUUUAUCUUGUUUAAAACAACUGUAGUGAUAAUCUGGUUAAACAGUUCUAACUUGGAGCAUGAUUCAGUUGUUUCCCCAUGUUCCCAUAAAACCUCCCUACCCACCUUUAUACUUUCUGAGUCUUGGUGUAUGAGAGCCAAGUGAAAGGGGAAACCCCUUAUUUACUACCAUGAGAACAUCACGAGAAAGAUCCAACCCCAUAAUUUCAAUUACCUCCCACUGGGUCCCUCCCAUGAUGUGGGAAUUGUGGGAGCUACAAUUCAAGAUGAAAUUUGGGUGGGGACACAGCCAAACCAUGUCAUUCCACCCCUGAACCCUCCCAAAUCUCAUGUCCUCACAUUUUGAAACCAAUCAUGGCUUCCCAACAGCCCCCCAAAGUCUUAACUCAUUUCAGCAUUAACUCAGAAGUCCACAGUCCAAAGUCUCAUCUGAGACAAGGCAAGUCUCUUCUGCCUAUGAACCUGUAAAAUAAAAAGCAAGUUAGUUACUUCCUAGAUACCAUGGGGGUUCAGGCAUUGGGUAAAUACAGCCAUUCCAAUUGGGAGAAAUUGGCCAAAACAAAGGGGCAAAAGACCCCAUGCAAGUCUGAAAUCCAGCAGGGCAGUCAAAUCUUAAAGCUCCAAAGUGAUCUCCUUUGACUCCAUGUCUCACAUCCAGGUCACUCUGCUGCAAGAGGUGGGCUCCCAUGACCUGGGGCAGCUCCACCUCUGUGACUUUGCAAGGUAUAGCCUCCCUCGUGGCUGCUUUCACAGGCUGGCGUUGAGUGUGGCUUUUCCAGGUGCGUGGUGCAAGCUGUCGGUGGAUCUACCGUUCUGGGGCUGGAGGAUGGUGGCCCUCUUCUCACAGCUCCACUAGGCAGUGCCCCAGUAGGGACUCUGUGUGGGGGCUCCCACCCCACAUUUCCCUUCCACACUGCCCUAGCAGAGGUUCUUCAUGAGGGCCCCGCCCCCGCAGCAAACUUCCACCUGGGCAUCCAGGCAUUUCCACAUACCCUCUGAAAUCUAGGCAGAGGUUCCUAAAGCUCAAUUCUGACUUCUGUUUACCCGCAGACUCAAUACCAUGUGGAAGUUGUCAAGGCUUGGGGUUUUCACCCUCUGAAGCCAUGGCUGGAGCUGUACCUUGACCCCUUUUAGCCAUGGCUAGAGUGGCUGAGAAGCAGGGCACCAAGUCCCUAGACUGCACACAGCAGGAGGGCCCUGGGCCUGGCCCAUGAAACCAUUUUUUCUUCCUAGACUUCCAGGCCUGUGUUGAGAGGGGUUGUCGCAAAGGUCUGACAUGCCCUGGAGACAUUUUCCCCAUUGUGUUGGGGAUUAACAUUUGGCUCCUCGUUACUUAUGCAAAUGUCUGCAGCCAGCUUGAAUUUCUCCUCAGAAAAUGUUUUUUUUCUUUUCUCUUGCACCAUCAGUCUGCAAAUUUUCCAAACUUUUGUGCUGUGUUUCCCAUUUAAAACUGAAUGCUUUUAACAGCACCCAAGUCAUCUCUUGAAUGCAUUGCUGCUUAGAAAUUUCUUCUGUAGCAGGACAAGCUGCAGACAAAACCUCUGAGACACCAAGUUGUAGAAGGAAGGGCUUUAUUCAGCUGGGAGCAUCGGCAAGCUACUGCCUUAAAAUCCGAGCUCCUCGAGUGCACAAUUUCUGUCCCUUUUAAGGGCUCAUGGCACUGAAGAUUUCACAUGAAAGGGUCGUGAUUGAUUUGAGCAAGCAAGGGGUAUGUGACAGGGGCUGCAUGCACCGGUGGUCAGAGAGAAACAGAACAGGGCAGGGAGUUUCACAAUGUUCUUCUAUACAAUGUCUGGAAUCUAUGAAUAACGUCGGUUUCUAAGUCAUGAGUUGAUUUUUAACUACUAGGUUUAGGCCAGGCAGGCCCAGGUCCGGUUUUGGGCCUGGCGCUGGGCUGCCUGUCUUUGAUUUUAUUUCCUUUUUUUUCUUUAAAAACAGGAACUGAGUAUAAAACAAUAUAAAACAAUAUGAGAGGGCCUCUCUCUUUCCUCAUUCCCCCCUUUUGAGACUCUCACUUUUUAUUAGUGGGAGUUCUCACUCUUAUUUUUGUUACUUAUGUCUUUUUGUGCAAUAGAUUGAUAGUGAUUCAUAUAGUACACUUGUGCUGAAGCAUUUUGGUGAACUAAGGUAGCGAUGAAGCUUCUUAUCAUUUGAAGAAGUACAGGUAGCAAACAAGGGAGCAGUAAGCAGGGUUUUAGUAUUAUUAUAACUCCUAUUUAUAAGAGUUUUAAAUUUUCCUAGUGCUGGGAACUACCUUUUAAACAUAGCUUCAGGGUUGAAUCCGUGCUACACUUGCACGGGUACAUGUGCCAGUUUUGUUAUAUCUUUAACUAUGUCCUCAACUACUUGCCCCUGAUCAUCUAUGUGUAGACAACAAUUAGUAAGGUUAAAUUUUCUACAGACUUUUCUUUCAGCUGCUACUAAGUAGUCAAGAGCUAGUCUAUUUUGAUAGAUAGCAUUUCUCAUCAGAGUUUCUUGCUGGGCAAGAACAGUCAAGGCUUGACCGGUUUUAUUAGUAAUAAUUUCUAAAACAGCUUGCAACCAUAUGAUUCGGUUGAGCAUGUAGAUGGGGGUUCGAAAUCCUCAUGAGCCAUCUUGUGCCUAAGUGGUGGGUCGGUAGUAUUGUAUGAUUCUUUCAGGGGGCCAUUCAUUAUUUUUCUAAUCACCUAUGGCUAUGCUUCGUUUUUCAUGGGAAGCAUAGACUGGGAAGCCUAGAAGUUCACCUGUUUUUAUGGGCAGUAAGAAGAAAGAUGGCUUAAUGGUGCCAAUUACACAGCUCCCUGUCCACUGAUCAGACAGCUUAGAAUAAGCUCUGUGUCCACAUAUCCAGUAUAACCUGGUGGGGGCUGUCCAGUCCUGGUGGAAUUCUGGGUGGGCCUAAACAGUCUGCAACUUUGGAAAUUUACUGAAUGGAUUUCUUUCUGUGUAAUUGGAACUCCACCAUGUAACUGUUUUUGUGGUACCAUUAUACAGCUUUUGCCCAAGACAACUAAGCCGCCCUAUAGAAUGAGUGAAUUGUUUUCCUUCAAUAGCUGUGCAAUACUGUCUAAUAAUUGAGACUUUUAGAACCUAAAAAUUGUCAGGGUGGUUCUUUUGGGCUGGGAAUUCAUCAGGAACUGGGUCUGUGGGAACUAAUUCUCGGGCUUCCUAUGGCCAUUGAUCUCCUGUUACGGUUCCUCCGCAAACAUAACAUGAGGUGACUUGUAGAGACUGGGCUACGUGUUCGGCUAAUUGCAAAAACAAAUUUUUAGUUUUUCCUGGAAUCUCAGGUACUGGCACAUUUAGUUUAUCAUAGAAAGUCUGAAAUACUGGUUCUGGAGAGCGUCUUUGAACCUCUCCUUUUAUUAGGAUGCUUAUACUAGGAUCUAGUCCUUUUCCAUCAAUGCCUAAUGUUACAUAUCUUUUUUUUAUUUUACUUUGGGUCUGAGGGGUUUGUGAUUAUCAAUUCUAAAGGGUUGCAGCUCCUACUCGUGCAGGAGGGGCUGACUUUUCUUUUUUUUGGAGCCAAACAGGAUAUUUUUUAUCUUCUUUCUAAGUAGCCUAAAUGACACAAGACUAGUAUUGACACAUCUCACAUAAAUAUGAUUUUUGACAGAUGUACUUAUUUUCUGCUGUGUAACUUUUUUUUCAAUCUAGAGAACCGCAUCCUAUCCCAUGCUGUUUACUAUUAAUAGCGGCACAGGCGUCAAAUUUUAAGGUUACAUUUUUGGGGACCUUUCUUUCUUCUGUUCUAGCUAUUACCUUACUUGUGUCACCUAGAAAAGGACCAGUCCUUAAUUUUAUUUUAAAAACUGUGAACAUGGGAGGCUUAAAAUGGGUCAUAAUACGCAUCAGGUUGGUUAUUCCCUGGGCUGCAUACCUUGGAUAGAAUAGCAUUAUACAAACAAGUUUCUUUUAGAGUCCCGGUACACUUAUAAUAACCAUAAAAUAAUAGGACUGUAGCAAUCUUUUGUCCUACCUCAGUGACUUGAUGUAUAUACUGGAAACAGUUAUCAGUCUGAGGAAGGUCAGUGGAAGUCCUUACUGUUCAAGUCCAAAUUUUAAGGAAAUUGGGUCCCGCGAUGAAUUUCCUCAUGUUUCGGCCGUGCGUGGACCAGUCAGCUUCCAGGUGUGACUGGGGCGGGGCUUGUCGUCUUCUUCAGAGUCACUUUGCAGGGGUUGGCAAAGCUGCUCCUAUCUACGUGCAACUCCCAGUCUACUGAUGUUUAGGGGUGGUCUCGGUGGUUGGGCCUGCUAGAAUAAACUGAGUCCAAUACUUCUACACAGUUAUGUUUAACUGGGCUCUCUGAUACCAGGAGUAAGGUGGCGGGGUUUAGGGUGUUGCAAACUUCAAUGGUUAUGCGGGGAUUUUCACAGAGCAAGCUUUGCUAUCUAGUUAGUCUAGCAUUCAUUAGCUAAUGGUGUCCUUUGGUAUUUAUUAAAAUCACCACAGCAUGGGGGGACUUUAUGUUUAGGUUUUGUCUAAGAGUUAGCUUAUCUGCUUUUUGUGCUAACAGGGCCAUUGCUACCAGGGCCCUUGGACAUGGGGGCCAGCCUUUGGAAACCUCAUCUAGUUGUUUUGAGAGAUAGGCCUUGGCCAGGGCCCUACAGUCUGGGUUAAAACUCCAACUGCCAUUUUUUCUCUUUGACACAUAGAGUGCAAAGAGUUUUGUCAGGUCAGGUAGCCUCAGGGCUGGGGCCGACAUGAGUUUUUUUUUUUUUAACUCAUGAAAAGUUCAUUGCUGUUGGGUGUAAUAGAUGUAGUUUAUCUAAUCUACAUUUUUAUUGACUGUCAUCUACCAAAAUAUUGACUUAAAUCCUGUAACUAUUUGAUUUCAAGUUUUAAAUUGAUCUGGUAUUCCUUGCGGGGCUCCAAUUGCAUCUAAAUAGAUGUGAGAGUUGAAAGACCUAUAAGGGGCUUCUCUUGCUUUACGAUGUCUUAUUAUUAUUAUUAUUAUUUUUUCCUUCCUCUGGUUGAUGAAAUGCCAGGGUGAAAGGGAUAGCCAAAUGGACUAAAGCACAAGUGCCACUCUAGUUAUUCAGCAGAGUGCCUAGUAAAGGUCCACCACAAUACUGCCACACAUCCACUCAGGGAUGAACAAGGACUGACUGAUUGAUAAGCUCUUGAAAAUUCUUAAGCUCACUGCAUCCCUUCAGGUCUCCAAGGAAUGCUAAGUCUCCUCCCAGCCGUGAGAGACACGAAGUGAACUUAGUGUUGGGAGACGGAAGCUGGAUGGCCCUCGGGAGCUGACCCGCAGGGACUUUGGGAUAUAGCAGAGAGAGCUUGGCAUGACUUAUUACUCCAGGCUGUAGAAUCCUGGAAAAGAGCUACCAUGCAGCCCACGCCUGGUCGACUGGAGGACCACCUUAGUGGAAGGGGGACAAUCAGGGCCUCUGGGCUGCCAUGUGCACAAGCAUAACAAUUGCUUUUGUUUAACGUGCAGAUGGAAUAUUUGAUCCGUUUCAACCAGGCAUUUGCAUCUUGGUAUGCUGUCUUAAUUGCUAAAGUUUAAGUCUUUAACUUUUAUGAUCCUCUAGUAAAAUGAAUGUUUUCUUUAGCACCAAUUUUUAUUAGUUUUUAGACUAAAGAAAGCUAAACACCAUUUUAUAUGUAAUAAUGCUUCUUGUAUGAUUUUUAUACCAGAUAGGUUAAAUUUUACCUUUAUAUUAGUGUGUUAUUAAUGUUAAAAUUAAUUUUAAUAAAACCUUGUAGACAUAUUUAUCCAAUUUUUCAUGUUUGACCAUUAGGUAAGAUUUUAUAGACUCUUUUUAACCUUUUAUAAUUUUUGUUAAAGAGCAGGUUGAUGCUUUAAGAAAAACCUGUUGCAUUUUUACUUUAGUGUCCAGUUCACAGAAAAACUGGGUGAUACCUUUUUAACUUUAGCUAAUAUUUACACACAGAAUUUUCUUUACAAUUAACAUUUUAAAACUUGCUUAAACUUUCAAAACAAUAAUUUUUUUAACCUUUUAAUGUAGGUAAAAAUCCACAUUCUUAUGCCUCUUUAUAAUCUUUUUACUAAAGGUAUAUUUUACUUUUUUUAUACACCUUGCACAUAAACUGUUUUUUCAAUGGUACUCAGGAGGCCUUAUUACUUUUAAAUUAUACGACAUUUUUUGCAUAAAAUUUUUUAUAACUUUUUUUCAUGACUUUCGCAAUUUUUUUAACAUGUCUCAACUUUUUGACUUAUUGCAAACAUUUUUUUCUUUAAACAACCAGUUAAUUUAUUUCAGGACAAGAAUUUACCAUAUAACUUUUUUUUUAUAUAAAUUCUGCCUCUUCCCUUUUUUUUUUCCUUUUUUUAAAGCAAACUUUCUUUAUGUCUUUGGACUAGACUGUCUAAGGCCACAAGAUUAGAAGUUACCAUAAUACAUGUUACACUGUUAACUUUUAGCAAACUUCACUUUUGUUGAAAACCUUGUAAGUUUGAGAUUUCAAUUAUCCUUUGCUAUUAAUAAGACCUUGUUUAGUAUAAAUUAACUUAGAAUUGGUAUAGAUGGCCUUUUUUUCUCUCUGCUGGUCUUUCCUUGCCUCUGCCAGCCACUUAUGCUGCUGUUCUCUUAACUACUGUUGCGGGGAAGGGGGUCUAAAACCAGCUAUAACUGUCUAUGUACGGAAACUGGUCUCGGUGCCUUGGCUUACAGGUUACCUUGUGUCAUACCUUUGAAACAAGGGACCUGUCCAGGCUUCCUUCUGAUGGCCAACCCACCUCUAAUGCUGGCCAGCCUAUUUCACACAAAGUUCUAAGUUUUCCUGGUGUCACAGUAACACCAUAAUCUCCCUUAAAUUCUUUCUUGAAAUUUUUCAACAUAGUUCCUAGUGGGUUGGGCUUAUUUGUGCCUGGCCCAUGCUUCUUUGAGACAAAACAACACGCUCACACCACACACACACCACAAAACAAAGAACAGUUAAAAAGGGCACACACACACUUUUGCAGUUUACACCAAACCAAAAUCAAAACCAAAAUCAGAGUUUCCAGAAAUCCAAGCCAGGUCAAAACCAAAACCAAAGUAUCCAGCAAUUCAAGUCAAGUCAAAACUAGAACAAAGGUGCCAAUACAGGCACACCGUGGGUGAUCAGGCCACGCUUCCACUCAGAUGGAGUGGGGCAAGUUCCAAAGACUAGUCUUACCAAGUUUCAGAUAUCCAGACUCCAAAUGCCAGUUCCUUCCUGGUGUUCAGCCACUGUGUUAAUCCUCCAUGGGGGCCUGCUACGGGCUGCUCUGGUGAGGCGUUCCACUGUGGAAAUUUCCUACCCGGGAGCCCUCUUUGGAUCGCGGCACUCAGGCUGGCCGGAGUCCCCCGCAGGGAUGCUCCACAGGGCAGGCUUAAGCCGCCUAAGGGGCUGCCUCAGCCAUCCAUCAGUCACCUCGUUUCCCAGUCAGGGAACCAAAAAAUGUAGCAGGAUGAGCUGCAGACAAAACCUCUCAGACACCAGGUUGUAGAAGGAAGGGCUUUAUUCAGCUGGGAGCAUCGGCAAGCUACUGCCUUAAAAUCCGAGCUCCUCGAGUGCACAAUUUCUAUCCCUUUUAAGGGCCCACAACACUGAAGAUUUCACAUGAAAGGGUCAUGAUUGAUUUGAGCAAGCAAGGGGUACGUGACAGGGGCUGCAUGCACCGGUGGUCAGAGAGAAACAGAACAGGGCAGGGAGUUUCACAAUGUUCUUCUAUACAAUGUCUGGAAUCUAUGAAUAACAUCGGUUUCUAAGUCAUGAGUUGAUUUUUAUCUACUAGGUUUAGGCCAGGCAGGCCCAGGUCCAGUUUUGGGCCUGGCGCUGGGCUGUCUUUGAUUUUAUUUCCUUGUUUUUUUUUGUUUAUUUAUUAUUUUUUUUAAAACAGGUACUGAAUAUAAAACAAUAUGAGAGGGUCUCUCUCUUCCCUCACUUCCACCAGAUACCCUAAACUAUCUCCCUUAAUUCAAAGUUCCACAAAUCUCUAGGGCAGGUGCAAAAUCCCACUAGUCUCUUUGCUAAAACAUAGCAAGAAUCACCUUCACUGUAGUUCCCAACAAGUUCCUCAUUUCCAUCUGAGACCACCUCAGCCUGGAUUUCCAUAUCAUUAUCAGCAUUUUGGUCAAAGCCAUUCAACAAGUCUCUAGGAAGUUCCAAACUUUCCCACAUAUUCCUGUCUUCUGAGCUCUCUAAACUGCUCCACCCUCUCUGCCUGUUAUCCAGUUCCAGGUUUUGGGUAUCUUUACAGCAGCACCCCACUCUAGUACCAACUCACUGUAUUAGUCUGUUUUCACACUGCUGAUAAAGACAUACCUGAGACUGGGUAAUUUGUAAAGAAAAAGAGGUUUAAUGGACUCAGUUCCACGUGGCUGGGGAGGCCUCACAAUCACGGCGGAAAGGCCCUGUGAAAGGCACAUCUUAAGUGGCUGCAGCAAGAGAGAAUGAGAGCCAAGCGAAAGGGGAAAUCCCUUAUAAAGCCAUCAGAUCUUGUGAGGUUUGCUCACUGCCAGAGAACAGCACAGGAAAGACCUGCCCCCAUGAUUCAGUUGCCUCCCACUGGGUUCCUUCCACAACACGUGGGAAUUGUGGGAGCUUCAAUUCAAGAUGAAAUUUGGGUGGAGACACAGCCAAACCAUAUCACUUAGGAAAGGAUAUUUUGUAAGUGGGGAAGUUGAAGCUGAACUUAGUGGAGAGAGACUAAAUGACCACACUCUCCUUUGUCUUAUCUAAGCAAUUAUAAUAAAUGACACUCCAGGUGUCCUUGACUGCUGCCA